rnacentral:rRNA from 1 species
AUUGAACGCUGGCGGCAGGCCUAACACAUGCAAGUCGAGCGGAUGAAGGGAGCUUGCUCCUGGAUUCAGCGGCGGACGGGUGAGUAAUGCCUAGGAAUCUGCCUGGUAGUGGGGGAUAACGUCCGUGAACGGGCGCUAAUACCGCAUACGACCUGAGGGAGAAAGUGGGGGAUCUUCGGACCUCACGCUAUCAGAUGAGCCUAGGUCGGAUUAGCUAGUUGGUGGGGUAAAGGCCUACCAAGGCGACGAUCCGUAACUGGUCUGAGAGGAUGAUCAGUCACACUGGAACUGAGACACGGUCCAGACUCCUACGGGAGGCAGCAGUGGGGAAUAUUGGACAAUGGGCGAAAGCCUGAUCCAGCCAUGCCGCGUGUGUGAAGAAGGUCUUCGGAUUGUAAAGCACUUUAAGUUGGGAGGAAGGGCAGUAAGUUAAUACCUUGCUGUUUUGACGUUACCAACAGAAUAAGCACCGGCUAACUUCGUG